rnacentral:rRNA from 1 species
UACGUAGGGUGCGAGCGUUAAUCGGAAUUACUGGGCGUAAAGCGUGCGCAGGCGGUUCGCUAUGUCCUGUGUGAAAGCCCCGGGCUUAACCUGGGAAUGGCAUGGGAAACUGGCGAGCUUGAGUGCGGCAGAGGGGGGUGGAAUUCCGCGUGUAGCAGUGAAAUGCGUAGAGAUGCGGAGGAACACCGAUGGCGAAGGCAGCCCCCUGGGUCGACACUGACGCUCAUGCACGAAAGCGUGGGGAGCAAACAGG